GUGCUUGCACCUGGUGGCGAGUGGCGAACGGGUGAGUAAUACAUCGGAACAUGUCCUGUAGUGGGGGAUAGCCCGGCGAAAGCCGGAUUAAUACCGCAUACGAUCUACGGAUGAAAGCGGGGGACCUUCGGGCCUCGCGCUAUAGGGUUGGCCGAUGGCUGAUUAGCUAGUUGGUGGGGUAAAGGCCUACCAAGGCGACGAUCAGUAGCUGGUCUGAGAGGACGACCAGCCACACUGGGACUGAGACACGGCCCAGACUCCUACGGGAGGCAGCAGUGGGGAAUUUUGGACAAUGGGCGAAAGCCUGAUCCAGCAAUGCCGCGUGUGUGAAGAAGGCCUUCGGGUUGUAAAGCACUUUUGUCCGGAAAGAAAUCCUUGGUUCUAAUAUAGCCGGGGGAUGACGGUACCGGAAGAAUAAGCACCGGCUAACUACGUGCCAGCAGCCGCGGUAAUACGUAGGGUGCGAGCGUUAAUCGGAAUUACUGGGCGUAAAGCGUGCGCAGGCGGUUUGCUAAGACCGAUGUGAAAUCCCCGGGCUCAACCUGGGAACUGCAUUGGUGACUGGCAGGCUAGAGUAUGGCAGAGGGGGGUAGAAUUCCACGUGUAGCAGUGAAAUGCGUAGAGAUGUGGAGGAAUACCGAUGGCGAAGGCAGCCCCCUGGGCCAAUACUGACGC
rnacentral:rRNA from 1 species